rnacentral:rRNA from 1 species
ACGGGAGGCAGCAGUGGGGAAUCUUGCGCAAUGCGCGAAAGCGUGACGCAGCAACGCCGCGUGAGGGAAGAAGGCCUUCGGGUUGUAAACCUCUUUCAGGAGGGACGAAGGUUCAGGCGCGAACAGCGACCUGGACUGACGGUACCUCCAGAAGAAGCCCCGGCUAACUACGUGCCAGCAGCCGCGGUAAUACGUAGGGGGCUAGCGUUGUCCGGAAUCAUUGGGCGUAAAGCGCGCGUAGGCGGCCCGGUAAGUCCGCUGUGAAAGUCAAAGGCUCAACCUUUGAAUGCCGGUGGAUACUGCCGGGCUAGAGUCCGGAAGAGGCGAGUGGAAUUCCUGGUGUAGCGGUGGAAUGCGCAGAUAUCAGGAGGAACACCAAUAGCGAAGGCAGCUCGCUGGGACGGUACUGACGCUGAGGCGCGAAAGCGUGGGGAGCGAACAGGAUUAGAUACCCUGGUA